rnacentral:rRNA from 1 species
CGUAGGGGGCAAGCGUUGUCCGGAUUUAUUGGGCGUAAAGCGCUCGCAGGCGGUUCGUUGCGUCGUGCGUGAAAGACCCCGGCUCAACUGGGGAGGGUCGUGCGAGUACGGGCGAACUUGAGGCCAGUAGGGGGACGCGGAAUUCCGGGUGUAGUGGUGGAAUGCGUAGAGAUCCGGAGGAACACCAGCGGCGAAGGCGGCGUCCUGGACUGGUACUGACGCUCAGGAGCGAAAGCGUGGGGAGCGAUCCGGAUUAGAUACCCGGGUAGUCCACGCCGUAAACGAUGAGGACUAGGUGUCGGGGGUAUCGACCCCCUCGGUGCCGCAGCUAACGCGAUAAGUCCUCCGCCUGGGGACUACGGCCGCAAGGCUA